UGCUGUAGAUUUAAUCUCUCUCCCUCGUGCCAUGCGCACCGCGCUUAUCAUCAAACCCCUCCAUAAGAACGUCCACCCAGAACACCAUCAAUCACGCUGCGUCGUGCGAGCCAAAGCUCUCCAUAACGCUGGCUGGACGGCGUGUGUGGUCCAGACCGUUCUGUAGCUGUGGCUGUGGCGCACGCCACCUUAGAGUUAGACCACAUCAUCUUUGGCAAUGCCUCCUUUUUUUUUUUUAGGAGGCAUUGUCUUUGGCUGCCCCGCCGAUCCUCCUCCGCAGGGACAGCCCGCCAUCGGAGCAUGGGAGGAAUGGGAGGACCACCUUGCGUCGCAGGGCACGGAACGCCCAACUUCGCUGCGUGAACCGGCGUGUCAGUGCCAUGUCCCUACGUGGCCUGGACACAUGCGCGUAAUGUGAGGGCUGUGCGGUGGCCCUGGGCUCUUGAAGGGUCCAAACUCGCUCGCUUAAUAAAGUUUUUCCACCCAUUACGUUUUGAGCGCGCAUGUCUGUGGAUUCAAAUCUGGCGCCAUAGGCAUGGCGUCUUGAAGGCCACAAGGAACGCAGCAAAAAUAAGAGAAACACAAUUCUUAACAUAUUUAUACUUAAACAUUUGUUUAAAAGUGAAAGUACGCGAGUAAUAGAAAAGAUAAAGUAGCCUUUUAUUUAACCGUAGAGUGGUGCAAUGGUCGCGCUUGCAGUUCGCGCUUUUUUCGCAAUUCCGAAACAAGGUUCUAGGCAGGUUCUUUGCAAAAUGAUACGUCCUUUCUAUCAUUUUCGGCGGUGUCGGCUGUUCGAGUUGUUCGCCUGCGUGAAGGUCUAAUGUACUUUUCGAGUGGCUUUAUUUCGUUACUGUGCUUGCUACCUGCAUUGGCUGACCAAGGUAAUUGAAUUUCAGAGGCUGCCAGGAACAACUCCACUAGGGCCAAUGUAUAUCGUACUGUACUUUUGAAACAGCAGCUUGGUUAAAAAGUAGGGAAUCCUGUGCAACUCUAUAAAGGUAAAUUAUCCAGAAGUCAUUGUGCCUACCAAUCCCUGCGUAAGGAGCUGCUUCUUUCUCUGAGGUGGCAUGAUGAAAGAAGUUUCCACGCCUUGAAUCUGAUCAACCAACUUAGCCCUGAUUGUAAGUUGAAAAUUGCAGCUUCGUAUUCCAGGUUGAGGUGAACCUUUUGUUGCAUGAAAAGAAACUGCGUACAAACUGUGGUUACCUUUGGUUUUCUAUUGUGCAUCUAUAAAAAGCAGAGAAAAAAUUUUUGUUCAAGUGAAACGUUUAUUUUCCAAGAUACAGAAUGUCCACUACAGUGGACAACAUGAACACCAGCUUUGGUGGGAAAAAUUUUGAUAAUUUUUUUUCAGCAGCUGAGCUUUUUUCUCGAACACUUGUACACUUGAACACAAAACUUUGAAUGCGGUGCACGCUACUCGGCGUUAUGGAAAAGGAAAAAGCAGUCACUUUUGUCGUCAACGCACAAGUACACCUUGCACUUUCCAUAAAGAUAUGUAGUCUCGCGCUUGCAUUCGCUCAUCUUGCAUCUCUGAGCGACAGAUGCUUGCUGACGGGGACAAUGACCAAUGUUGUAAUGUACGUCUGCAGAAACUGUACUUGCUUUGGAAGAUGGCCUUCGUUUGGCUGUGGCAGAACUUGCCGAUGAUUCCGUAGAAGGGUUGACUUCUUCAGCUGGGGUCUUUUAUUGAGCUUUUAUCAGCCCAAUUGCAACAAGAGCUUGAAGUCGAUGAGUUGCAUGGCACACUCUGCUA